GGGGACAGCCUGAACAAAUGUGUACUCAGAUCUGGGAAGGCAGUGUGGCUCCAUCUGUAGGGUGAAGAAUGUUUCCUGGAGGAGGUGACCUUCCAGCUAGAUUUUGUCGGAUGAAUUUACUACGUAGGGAUGGGAAAGUACAUCGCACGUGGAGGAGCAGCCUGCACAAAGACUCAAAGAUAAGACAAUAGUAAAAAUAUGUGUUCCCGGAACAAAACACGGGCUGGCAGAGUUUUAAAACAGAGCAAGCCGUGAGACCAAAGUAUGGAAGGUCUCAGAUGCCAGGUCCAGGCUCAGAAAGACAGAUUUGGGGAUGGCUGGGCAGUCUUUUAAAGUGGGACCCUCAUAGACUAGUGGGGGUGUGGCCACCACAGGGGGAGGGAGACUUGGUGGUGGGUGUGGCGUCAACUCUUCCUUAGAAGGACCCUUUGAGAGCAUGGAACAAAUCUCCAGGAUGAGCAAGUGGGAGCUGACAUAGAGAAAAAUUGUGGGGCUGGUGCCAAUCCUGCCAGGAACACCUCUGCCCGUGGAAGAUGCCACCUCCUGUUGAAACAAACAGUCCUGGGUGUUUGGAGAUGCCUGGUGCCUCAGCCCCCUAAUCCCACGAGGCACCUUGUUUUAAGGAGAUAAUCCAAACAGAAGACCACAGAUUUCUGGAGUAUGCAGAAGGUGUGGCAAAGACUGGCAUUGGACUGAUGAAUAAUGCAUGCAGAUCAACGAGGGACAGGCAAGAUAACACUUUGCUAUCAGGAAAUGCUUUAGGGAGCCUGUCACAGGCCCCAGUGUCAAAUUUUGUUCAGUCAGUCCCUGUCAGCAUUGGAGAAACUCCUUCACAGAGCAAUUAAAAGAUUUAAUCCCUGUUGUUAAAAACCACACUGCUCUGGAUGUGACCAAGACAGAACAAUGUCUAUAGAUACAACAAAAAGCUCAGGAGAGACCAGAAAACAAUUACCUUGGCAAACUGCUAUGAAUGAUUGUUGGGAUCAGAAUGGCUCUGACCCCUCUAAGAUUGCCCCCACCUCCCCUGUUCUGAGUGCGCUGAGGUCAGGCUGUUCUGCGAUGUUUUGUUGUUUGGUAUAUCUCCUGUUUUGGCAGCUGUGGCACCCCGGGGUAUGCUGACCAUUCCUUGACCCUGGGUGCUUGAUAAACAAUUUUGUUUGUUCCUCCUGAAAGGGUAUAUAAGAUGGGGAAGAAAGAAUAAAGGUCGUCCUGAUG